GACGAACGCUGGCGGCGUGCUUAACACAUGCAAGUCGAACGGAAAGGCCUGCUUUCCCUUGUGGAUUGCGGGUACUCGAGUGGCGAACGGGUGAGUAACACGUGAGUGAUCUGCCCCCAACUUGGGUAUAAGCCUGGGAAACUGGGUCUAAUUCCCGAUAGGACUGCAGGGUGGUGCCUGUGGUGGAAAACGAUUUUCUAGUGGUUGGGGAUGAGCUCGCGGCCUAUCAGCUUGUUGGUGGGGUAAUGGCCUACCAAGGCGGCGACGGGUAGCCGGCCUGAGAGGGUGGACGGCCACAUUGGGACUGAGAUACGGCCCAGACUCCUACGGGAGGCAGCAGUGGGGAAUAUUGCACAAUGGGCGGAAGCCUGAUGCAGAGACGCCGCGUGGGGGAUGACGGCCUUCGGGUUGUAAACUCCUUUCGACCGCGAGGAAGCCACCUGGUUGGAAGGGUGGUGACGGUAGUGGUAGAAGAAGCACCGGCUAACUACGUG
rnacentral:rRNA from 1 species